rnacentral:rRNA from 1 species
UGCGACCCCAAGUCAGGCGAGACUACCCGCUGAGU